rnacentral:lncRNA from 1 species
UUUCCAUUCGAGAAUCGGUAAUAAUUAGAGUAGGACACCAGGUCAUUGGUGUUCUGUCUUAAGUUGUUGAUAGGUGAGAUACUUAGAGACAAAAUCAGCGAUAUCUCUUUUCAUAUUGUGCCACCAAUACCAAGGUCACAUGCUUUGGAAUAUCUUGGUAUUUUCCAGAUGUAUAGUGAACCUUGAACUGUGAGCCUCUGCCAUGAUAUCCCUUUUUAAUUCAUCAUUAUUUAGAAUAUAUAACUU